CACGUAGGGGGCGAGCGUUGUCCGGAUUUAUUGGGCGUAAAGAGCUCGUAGGCGGUCUGUCGCGUCGAUCGUGAAAACUUGGGGCUUAACCCUGAGCUUGCGGUCGAUACGGGCAUGACUGGAGUUCGGCAGGGGAGAGUGGAAUUCCUGGUGUAGCGGUGAAAUGCGCAGAUAUCAGGAAGAACACCCGUGGCGAAGGCGGCUCUCUGGGACGGUACUGACGCUGAGACGCGAAAGCGUGGGGAGCGAACAGG
rnacentral:rRNA from 1 species